rnacentral:rRNA from 1 species
GACGAACGCUGGCGGCGUGCUUAACACAUGCAAGUCGAACGGAAAGGCCUUUUCGGAGGUACUCGAGUGGCGAACGGGUGAGUAACACGUGGGUGAUCUGCCCUGCACUCUGGGAUAAGCCUGGGAAACUGGGUCUAAUACCGGAUAGGACCGCACUUUAGUGUGUGUGGUGGAAAGUUUUUUCGGUGUAGGAUGAGCCCGCGGCCCAUCAGCUUGUUGGUGGGGUAAUGGCCUACCAAGGCGGCGACGGGUAGCCGGACUGAGAGGUUGGUCGGCCACAUUGGGACUGAGAUACGGCCCAGACUCCUACGGGAGGCAGCAGUGGGGAAUAUUGCACAAUGGGCGCAAGCCUGAUGCAGCGACGCCGCGUGGGGGAUGACGGCCUUCGGGUUGUAAACUCCUUUCGCCAGGGACGAAGCGUUUUGUGACGGUACCUGGAGAAGAAGCACCGGCUAACUACGUG